rnacentral:rRNA from 1 species
GACUCGUCACACUAUCAUUAACUGAAUCCAUAGGUUAAUGAGGCGAACCGGGGGAACUGAAACAUCUAAGUACCCCGAGGAAAAGAAAUCAACCGAGAUUCCCCCAGUAGCGGCGAGCGAACGGGGAGGAGCCCAGAGCCUGAAUCAGCAUGUGUGUUAGUGGAAGCGUCUGGAAAGGCGCGCGAUACAGGGUGACAGCCCCGUACACAAAAGCGCAUGUGCUGUGAGCUCGAUGAGUAGGGCGGGACACGUGGUAUCCUGUCUGAAUAUGGGGGGACCAUCCUCCAAGGCUAAAUACUCCUGACUGACCGAUAGUGAACCAGUACCGUGAGGGAAAGGCGAAAAGAACCCCGGCGAGGGGAGUGAAAAAGAACCUGAAACCGUGUACGUACAAGCAGUGGGAGCACAGGUUUACCUGUGUGACUGCGUACCUUUUGUAUAAUGGGUCAGCGACUUAUAUUCUGUAGCAAGGUUAACCGAAUAGGGGAGCCGGAGGGAAACCGAGUCUUAAUUGGGCGUUAAGUUGCAGGGUAUAGACCCGAAACCCGGUGAUCUAGCCAUGGGCAGGUUGAAGGUUGGGUAACACUAACUGGAGGACCGAACCGACUAAUGUUGAAAAAUUAGCGGAUGACCUGUGGCUGGGGGUGAAAGGCCAAUCAAACCGGGAGAUAGCUGGUUCUCCCCGAAAGCUAUUUAGGUAGCGCCUCGUGAAUUCAUCUCCGGGGGUAGAGCACUGUUUCGGCUAGGGGGCCAUCCCGGCUUACCAACCCGAUGCAAACUGCGAAUACCGGAGAAUGUUAUCACGGGAGACACACGGCGGGUGCUAACGUCCGUCGUGAAGAGGGAAACAACCCAGACCGCCAGCUAAGGUCCCAAAGUCAUGGUUAAGUGGGAAACGAUGUGGGAAGGCCCAGACAGCCAGGAUGUUGGCUUAGAAGCAGCCAUCAUUUAAAGAAAGCGUAAUAGCUCACUGGUCGAGUCGGCCUGCGCGGAAGAUGUAACGGGGCUAAACCAUGCACCGAAGCUGCGGCAGCGACGCUGAUGCGUUGUUGGGUAGGGGAGCGUUCUGUAAGCCUGCGAAGGUGGCCUGUGAGGGUUGCUGGAGGUAUCAGAAGUGCGAAUGCUGACAUAAGUAACGAUAAAGCGGGUGAAAAGCCCGCUCGCCGGAAGACCAAGGGUUCCUGUCCAACGUUAAUCGGGGCAGGGUGAGUCGACCCCUAAGGCGAGGCCGAAAGGCGUAGUCGAUGGGAAACGGGUUAAUAUUCCCGUACUUGGUGUUACUGCGAAGGGGGGACGGAGAAGGCUAUGUUGGCCGGGCGACGGUUGUCCCGGUUUAAGCGUGUAGGUGUGUGUUCCAGGUAAAUCCGGUUCACUUUAACACUGAGGCGUGAUGACGAGGCACUACGGUGCUGAAGCAACAAAUGCCCUGCUUCCAGGAAAAGCCUCUAAGCAUCAGGUAACAUCAAAUCGUACCCCAAACCGACACAGGUGGUCAGGUAGAGAAUACCAAGGCGCUUGAGAGAACUCGGGUGAAGGAACUAGGCAAAAUGGUGCCGUAACUUCGGGAGAAGGCACGCUGACACGUAGGUGAAGUGAUUUACUCAUGGAGCUGAAGUCAGUCGAAGAUACCAGCUGGCUGCAACUGUUUAUUAAAAACACAGCACUGUGCAAACACGAAAGUGGACGUAUACGGUGUGACGCCUGCCCGGUGCCGGAAGGUUAAUUGAUGGGGUCAGCGCAAGCGAAGCUCCUGAUCGAAGCCCCGGUAAACGGCGGCCGUAACUAUAACGGUCCUAAGGUAGCGAAAUUCCUUGUCGGGUAAGUUCCGACCUGCACGAAUGGCGUAAUGAUGGCCAGGCUGUCUCCACCCGAGACUCAGUGAAAUUGAACUCGCUGUGAAGAUGCAGUGUACCCGCGGCAAGACGGAAAGACCCCGUGAACCUUUACUAUAGCUUGACACUGAACAUUGAGCCUUGAUGUGUAGGAUAGGUGGGAGGCUUUGAAGUGUGGACGCCAGUCUGCAUGGAGCCGGCCUUGAAAUACCACCCUUUAAUGUUUGAUGUUCUAACGUGGACCCGUGAUCCGGGUUGCGGACAGUGUCUGGUGGGUAGUUUGACUGGGGCGGUCUCCUCCUAAAGAGUAACGGAGGAGCACGAAGGUUGGCUAAUCCUGGUCGGACAUCAGGAGGUUAGUGCAAUGGCAUAAGCCAGCUUGACUGCGAGCGUGACGGCGCGAGCAGGUGCGAAAGCAGGUCAUAGUGAUCCGGUGGUUCUGAAUGGAAGGGCCAUCGCUCAACGGAUAAAAGGUACUCCGGGGAUAACAGGCUGAUACCGCCCAAGAGUUCAUAUCGACGGCGGUGUUUGGCACCUCGAUGUCGGCUCAUCACAUCCUGGGGCUGAAGUAGGUCCCAAGGGUAUGGCUGUUCGCCAUUUAAAGUGGUACGCGAGCUGGGUUUAGAACGUCGUGAGACAGUUCGGUCCCUAUCUGCCGUGGGCGCUGGAGAACUGAGGGGGGCUGCUCCUAGUACGAGAGGACCGGAGUGGACGCAUCACUGGUGUUCGGGUUGUCAUGCCAAUGGCACUGCCCGGUAGCUAAAUGCGGAAGAGAUAAGUGCUGAAAGCAUCUAAGCACGAAACUUGCCCCGA